CCUAGAGUUUGUAGGACUUUGUCUGCUACUCUCUACCCAUGUCUUUUGAGUACCUUACGUUUCCUCGGCUGGGUCCGCCCCCGAUUGGACAACAUUCUAAACCCUUUGCAGUUGCAAAUCAGCGUCUGAAAAAACUUAAUAGUUA
rnacentral:misc_RNA from 1 species